GAUGAACGCUGGCGGCGUGCCUAAUACAUGCAAGUCGAGCGAACAGACGAGGAGCUUGCUCCUCUGACGUUAGCGGCGGACGGGUGAGUAACACGUGGAUAACCUACCUAUAAGACUGGGAUAACUUCGGGAAACCGGAGCUAAUACCGGAUAAUAUAUUGAACCGCAUGGUUCAAUAGUGAAAGACGGUUUUGCUGUCACUUAUAGAUGGAUCCGCGCCGCAUUAGCUAGUUGGUAAGGUAACGGCUUACCAAGGGGACGAUGUGUAGCCGACCUGAGAGGGUGAUCGGCCACACUGGAACUGAGACACGGUCCAGACUCCUACGGGAGGCAGCAGUAGGGAAUCUUCCGCAAUGGGCGAAAGCCUGACGGAGCAACGCCGCGUGAGUGAUGAAGGUCUUCGGAUCGUAAAACUCUGUUAUUAGGGAAGAACAAAUGUGUAAGUAACCAUGCACGGCUUGACGGUACCUAAUCAGAAAGCCACGGCUAACUACGUG
rnacentral:rRNA from 1 species